rnacentral:lncRNA from 1 species
GACUAUCUGGAUUUUUAAUAUGGUGAUGGAAGGCUACUAGGUACAGUUAAGUACUUACGAAGUCUGUGUAUGGAUCAAGAUGAGAUUGAUCUCUCUGGAUUAUUGGAGUUGAUGUAUCACUAUAUUUUAAUUUAGUAAAAUCUUGACAGGAUAAUCCAUGAGAUAGAUUUGAAAGGUUGAAAUAUAAUGUGGAUGAAGCGAUCUCGAUUGACAGUUAACCUG